AGGAAUUCAGUUUGAAGCCAGGACAGUGUGGACAAAUGAGGUCGGCCAGGAUGCAGAAUAUCUGGGCAGAAAAGCAGGCUGCCCUACCUUGGAACCAGCUGACUAUGGACUGAAACCUCUGCACACUGUGAGCUGAGAUAAAUCUUUCCUUCUUUAACUUUGAGUGAUGGGUAUUUUGUCUCAGCAACGAGGAAGUAACUGAGACAGAGCUGUCUCCAUUCUCCACCUCCUGCCCUGGCUGAGCUCGGGACCUCAGCCGGCCACAGCAGCAGAGUGCUGGGAAGGAGGCAAGACGAUGAGCAAGGCAGCUCCCAGCUGUGGGCAGCAGCGACGCGGAGGACAGGCUCUGAAGUCCUGGGGAGACCUGGGUGCCACCUGCCAGGGCCAUCGCAGGAGGAAGCACUGAGGUUGGAGGAGGGGCUCCAGGCAGGGAAGGCUGGUCAGAAUGGGGAGAGCCACCCUUCCCUUUCCUGAGGGACCGCGCAGACUGUCAGGAGAGCUGUGCCCACAGUGGUAAGCCACGUGACUUCGGGCAACUUAGUUCCUCUCUGUGCCUCCAUUUUCUUUUUUUUUGUACCGGAGAUCGAACUCGGGACCUUGCGCUUUCGAGGCAGGUGCCAGAAUCACUGAGCUAAAUCCCUGGCCCGGUGCCUCCAUUUUCUUACCAAAAAAUAGGGUUGGCUAUGUGAACUUCCUCGUGGGAUUACUAUGAAGCUUGAAUGAAUGAACGCAUGCAAAAUGCAUUUAUCCUUGAAUGAAUGAAUGCAAAAUGCACAGAGCAGUCCAUCACGCAGAUGCCGGUCUUAUUGCUUAGCAGUUGGCAGAGG
ensembl:lncRNA